AGCUUGCUCCUCUGAUUUAGCGGCGGACGGGUGAGUAACACGUGGGUAAUCUGCCUGUAAGACGGGGAUAACUCCGGGAAACCGGGGCUAAUACCGGAUAAUAAGAGAAGAAGCAUUUCUUCUUUUUGAAAGUUGGUUUCGGCUAACACUUACAGAUGAGCCCGCGGCGCAUUAGCUAGUUGGUGAGGUAACGGCUCACCAAGGCGACGAUGCGUAGCCGACCUGAGAGGGUGAUCGGCCACACUGGGACUGAGACACGGCCCAGACUCCUACGGGAGGCAGCAGUAGGGAAUCUUCGGCAAUGGGCGAAAGCCUGACCGAGCAACGCCGCGUGAGCGAUGAAGGCCUUCGGGUCGUAAAGCUCUGUUGUUAGAGAAGAACAAGUACGAGAGUAACUGCUCGUACCUUGACGGUACCUAACCAGAAAGCCACGGCUAACUACGUGCCAGCAGCCGCGGUAAUACGUAGGUGGCAAGCGUUAUCCGGAAUUAUUGGGCGUAAAGCGCGCGCAGGCGGUCUCUUAAGUCUGAUGUGAAAGCCCACGGCUCAACCGUGGAGGGUCAUUGGAAACUGGGAGACUUGAGUGCAGGAGAGAAAAGUGGAAUUCCACGUGUAGCGGUGAAAUGCGUAGAGAUGUGGAGGA
rnacentral:rRNA from 1 species